GGACUACUGGGGUAUCUAAUCCUGUUUGCUCCCCACGCUUUCGUGCAUGAGUGUCAGUAUCAGCCCAGGGGGUUGCCUUCGCCAUCGGUGUUCCUCCACAUCUCUACGCAUUUCACUGCUACACGUGGAAUUCCACCCCCCUCUGCCGUACUCUAGCGAGCCAGUCACCAAUGCAGUUCCCAGGUUGAGCCCGGGGAUUUCACAUCGGUCUUAACAAGCCACCUGCGCACGCUUUACGCCCAGUAAUUCCGAUUAACGCUUGGACCCUACGUAUUACCGCGGCGGCUGGCAC
rnacentral:rRNA from 2 species